CCCCUUGUAGUUAUAUUCUUGAGCCUUAUGUCCUUUGUCUUGCACCUCCCAUCUUAUUCUUGUGCAUAAUAAAUGUAGACCAGUUGGAGUUUGUUCAUUGCUUCCAUGUCCCUACGAAACACCUUCGUACACGUACUCCAUGGCCUCACAUGCAACCAUUUUCAUCGGUAUAUUCACCAGACACAAAUAAACACUCGUAUCUUGAACAGUCCCCAGCCCCUAGAUUUGAUAGCCAUGUCGUGUAUCAUCUUGCUGAAGAUCCAUACUGCUCACUAGCCAACCUAUUCCCACUUGAAUGUUAUCAUUCCAACUCCUUGUUUUCCAGCACUCCAUAAGACUGAAAAAAAUAUUGCUCGGCAUGUAACGAAACCAUAGUGAAUCAUUUUACAAUAACCAGGGUGGAUCCUUUUUCAAUAACAUAAUUCAAACCCAGGUUGUGUACAUGGUAUUUUUCAUGUAAAACUCUUUUAAUGCAUAGAAAUAACAUGUUGUAAUGUUCCAUCGAAAAACAUGAUAAUGUCUUUACACCAGAUUGAUCACUUGUUGCAAAGUAUAGAGCUCUUUUUGAGACCCCUGCAAAUAGGUCAAAUACUUGAUCCACUGAAGAUUGUAACAACAUUGUGAUGACAGAAGACUAGAGAGUCCAGUUGUCAAAGCAAAGCAUAUUAUUCAUUUCAAUUGCAUCAAGCACUUACACCAUAUGAAAACUACCAGCAAACCACAAAUUAAAAAAAAAAAAAACCAAAGCAACAUAUGCUCAUAAAGCUUAUUGAAAAUUGGAAAACAUACUCAGCAAAAACCACCACCUUUUUCCAUUGUUGUAUUCCAUAGAUUAAAGUUAUUGUUUUGGAUUCUCCUCCUUUGGGGCUGAGGGGUCCUUCUCAUCUUCAUGUUUCACCUCUUCCCAUGCAUUGGUUGUGGUCUUCGAGAGAUUCUUUUUGCAAGGUGUUAAUAGCGCCUGAAUCAUACGUUUUUU
rnacentral:lncRNA from 1 species